AAGGCCUUAGCUUAAUUAAAGCGUCUGGGUUGCAUCCAGAAGCUGUGGGGUAAAGUCCCGCAGGCCUUA
ensembl:Mt_tRNA tRNA-Ala